GGAUUAGAUACCCUGGUAGUCCAUGCCGUAAACGAUGAGUGCUAAGUGUUGGGAGGUUUCCGCCUCUCAGUGCUGCAGCUAACGCAUUAAGCACUCCGCCUGGGGAGUACGACCGCAAGGUUGAAACUCAAAGGAAUUGACGGGGGCCCGCACAAGCGGUGGAGCAUGUGGUUUAAUUCGAAGCAACGCGAAGAACCUUACCAGGUCUUGACAUCCAAUGACAACCUAAGAGAUUAGGCUUUCCCUUCGGGGACAUUGAGACAGGUGGUGCAUGGCUGUCGUCAGCUCGUGCCG
rnacentral:rRNA from 1 species